rnacentral:misc_RNA from 1 species
AAGUCGUAACAAGGUUUCCGUAGGUGAACCUGCGGAAGGAUCAUUAACACGUAUCCAAACGUUAAACAACCCCGUGAACAUACAACCUGCUCUGGUCGCCCGCUCGCAUGGACAAGCCCAGUAAAUCAAGCCCCGGAAAGUUUUUGAUUUGGGACCUCUGUGCGCGUGAGAAAAACUGACAGCGAUUCAUAGAAGCGGUAGGUCAAGUGACACGGCGUCCCCAAGUGACCAGUGAAUGAAAGUGUCGCUGGAGCGUCAAGGACGACUCUUCAAGAUUGCUAGAGGUCGACCUUGCCUGUAAGCAUCCAUACGGAUGGGCAGGCCCCCCGAACAACUGUUAACAAUGGAUAUCUUGGUUCUC